rnacentral:rRNA from 1 species
UGGGGAAUAUUGCACAAUGGGGGAAACCCUGAUGCAGCGACGCCGCGUGAGCGAAGAAGUAUUUCGGUAUGUAAAGCUCUAUCAGCAGGGAAGAAGAAAUGACGGUACCUGACUAAGAAGCACCGGCUAAAUACGUGCCAGCAGCCGCGGUAAUACGUAUGGUGCAAGCGUUAUCCGGAUUUACUGGGGGUAAAGGGAGCGCAGGCGGUACGGCAAGUCUGAUGUGAAAGCCCGGGGCUCAACCCCGGUACUGCAUUGGAAACUGCCGGACUGGUGUGUCGGAGGGGUAAGUGGAAUUCCUAGUGUAGCGAUGAAAUGCGUAGAUAUUAGGAGGAACACCAGUGGCGGAGGCGGCUUACUGGACGAUGACUGACGCUGAGGCUCGAAAGCGUGGGGGGCAAACAGG